UAAGGGAGCUAUGCUGGAAGUGCUCCACCUGAUCCCUUUUCGAACUCAGAAGUGAAAUCUUCCAAGGCCGAUGAUAGUAGCUAUGCUGCGAAAGUAGGUAGCUUCCUUAU
rnacentral:rRNA from 1 species